rnacentral:rRNA from 1 species
UACGUAGGGUGCAAGCGUUGUCCGGAAUUAUUGGGCGUAAAGAGCUCGUAGGUGGUUUGUCGCGUUGUCCGUGAAAUUCCCUGGCUUAACUGGGGGCGUGCGGGCGAUACGGGCAGACUGGAGUACUGCAGGGGAGACUGGAAUUCCUGGUGUAGCGGUGGAAUGCGUAGAGAUCCGGAAGAACACCGGUGGCGAAGGCGGUCUGCUGGGCCAAGACUGACGCUGAGGCGCGACAGCGUGGGGAGCAAACAGG